CAGGCUAACCGUUCCCUGGCUGUUGGAGCCGGGAGAUCGCCUGGCUGCCUUCAUCUGCUGCUCUCACCACUGGGGCCUUGAUGUCAUGGGCAGAAGCUGACAAUGACCCUUGGGCUUUUCCAGUGGAUAGUGACAGCAUUUCCUGCCACCUGGAGGGAAGACAGAAUAAUUGGCAGCAAGAGGCCAGACCAGAACCUGGAGAUGACGUGGCGAUGUUGGUAAUCCAAGGAGGAGACAGCCUGAGCAUUUGCCUGAAGAUGCAGACCUGCCCACCCUCCCUUAGCCAGGGUGUUGCCCCCCACCCAGGUCCUCAGAUGCUCUCUCAGACACCCCCUUGGUACUAGGUUUGUUCUCCAGGCCACUGCAGAUGGGUGCCCCUGACUCUAGCCCAGAGAUUAGCCUCACUGGCUCCUGCCUCCUGUGUCCACCCCCAUGGCAGGCCCCUACAGGAGCAAAACAUAGUCACCUUAGACUCUGGCAUACUGAGGCCAAGCCCUGAUCCUGUUGGCCUCACUCCCUGCCAA